rnacentral:sRNA from 1 species
GUGGUGACUUUCGAUGCAGGGGGAGUAAGUGGCCACAGCAAUCACAUUGCUCUGUAUGCAGCUGUGAGGGUGCUCUGUGCUCAUGCUUCAGUCUGUGAAUGUGCUGCGCAAGU